rnacentral:rRNA from 1 species
CACGUAGGGGGCAAGCGUUGUCCGGAUUUAUUGGGCGUAAAGAGCUCGUAGGCGGUUCGGUAAGUCGGGUGUGAAACCUCCAGGCUCAACCUGGAGACGCCACCCGAUACUGCUGUGACUAGAGUCCGGUAGGGGAGCGUGGAAUUCCUGGUGUAGCGGUGAAAUGCGCAGAUAUCAGGAGGAACACCAGCGGCGAAAGGCGGCGCUCUGGGCCGGAACUGACGCUGAGGAGCGAAAGCGUGGGGAGCAAACAGG